UACGGGGGGGGCAAGCGUUGUUCGGAAUUACUGGGCGUAAAGGGCUCGUAGGCGGUUUGUCGCGUCGGGAGUGAAAACCUCGGGCUUAACUCGGGGCUUGCUUUCGAUACGGGCAGACUGGAGGUAUGCAGGGGAGAACGGAAUUCCUGGUGUAGCGGUGAAAUGCGCAGAUAUCAGGAGGAACACCGGUGGCGAAGGCGGUUCUCUGGGCAUGACCUGACGCUGAGGAGCGAAAGUGUGGGGAGCGAACAGG
rnacentral:rRNA from 1 species